UACAGAGGGUGCAAACGUUGUUCGGAAUUACUGGGCGUAAAGCGAGUGUAGGCGGUCUUCUAAGUCGGAUGUGAAAUCCCCAGGCUUAACCUGGGAACUGCAUCCGAUACUGGAUGGCUUGAAUCCGGGAGAGGGAUGCAGAAUUCCAGGUGUAGCGGUGAAAUGCGUAGAUAUCUGGAGGAAUACCGGUGGCGAAGGCGGCAUCCUGGACCGGCAUUGACGCUGAUGAGCGAAAGCUAGGGGAGCAAACGGG
rnacentral:rRNA from 1 species